AUUGAACGCUGGCGGCAGGCCUAACACAUGCAAGUCGAGCGGAUGAAGGGAGCUUGCUCCUGGAUUCAGCGGCGGACGGGUGAGUAAUGCCUAGGAGUCUGCCUGGUAGUGGGGUAUAACGUCCUGAAACGGGCGCUAAUACCGCAUACGUCCUGAGGGAGAAAGUGGGGGAUCUUCGGACCUCACGCUAUCAGAUGAGCCUAGGUCGGAUUAGCUAGUUGGUGGGGUAAAGGCCUACCAAGGCGACGAUCCGUAACUGGUCUGAGAGGAUGAUCAGUCACACGGGAACUGAGACACGGUCCAGACUCCUACGGGAGGCAGCAGUGGGGAAUAUUGGACAAUGGGCGAAAGCCUGAUACAGCCAUGCCGCGUGUGUGAAGAAGGUCUUCGGAUUGUAAAGCACUUUAAGUUGGGAGGAAGGGCAGUAAGUUAAUACCUUGCUGUUUUGACGUUACCAACAGAAUAAGCACCGGCUAACUUCGUG
rnacentral:rRNA from 1 species